UACGUAGGGGGCAAGCGUUGUCCGGAAUCAUUGGGCGUAAAGAGCGUGUAGGCGGCUCGGUAAGUCCGCUGUGAAAGUCCAGGGCUCAACCCUGGAAUGCCGGUGGAAACUGUCGAGCUAGAGUCCGGAAGAGGCGAGUGGAAUUCCUGGUGUAGCGGUGAAAUGCGCAGAUAUCAGGAGGAACACCAUGGCGAAGGCAGCUCGCUGGGACGGUACUGACGCUGAGACGCGAAAGCGUGGGGGAGCGAACAGG
rnacentral:rRNA from 1 species